UACGACCUCAACUCAAGCAAGGCUACCCGCUGAACUUAAGCAUAUCAGUAAGCGGAGGAAAAGAAACUAACUAGGAUU
rnacentral:rRNA from 1 species